rnacentral:lncRNA from 1 species
GCGCACGCUGGGUUCGCGGGGCCUCGUCCGCAAGGCCGCACAGCCACGUCGCCAGAUCGUCGUGUUUGCGCCUACGUGCCGCCUGAUCGGGUCGCGUGCCCGCGUGGCACACUACAGCCGCCGAGGCUCCGGCGGCCAAGAGCAUGCGGCACGCCUUGUCAUGACCCCAAAAGGCAGCCUGAUGCAAAAAGGUCCACCCCGACGCAGGCCGCACAUAGGCAGCUGCCUUUGCCGCAAGUGCGCUGUCGGCCUCGAUACGUUGCAACACAAGAUCCCACCUACCGCGCUUGGCUUCUUCGUAAAGGCGACCGACGAGCGAGUCCAUGGACGAGCGCGUGCGCGUGGGUCGAGGUUAUUCCCUGACCCCGUGAACUCGGCCUUUUGUUUGAUCACGGCUCCUUUGUUGUUGGUAUUCCGGCUACGCCCCCGGAUGAAGAAGCGCCGCUCUUUCUCUUUGCCUCACGCGACUCUUUCCUUUUCUCUUAAUGUGUCGCCUGCUUUUUUUGCCCUCGCUCGGCCCGACAACAAGCG